rnacentral:lncRNA from 1 species
GGGAACUGAAUGGGUUAGGAUGAUCGGGCACAUUGAUAGAGUAGGCAAACGCUUGCAUAUAAGAGUGGACUAGGCAUACCGGUGGAGUGAUCGGGUAUAGUGAUGGAGUAAGCAAACGUUUGUAUAUAAGAGUGGGUCAGGCGGAUCAGGCACACGGGUGGAGUGAUCGGGUGUAUUGAUGAAGUGAGUAGUAGAAAUAAGGGCGAAAGUUCCGACAAGAUAUCAGGACACGUCGCCAGUAGUUACGAUGAAGGGCGAAUUUUAUGGGAUCAUGGGCUACUACGCACAUACGGUUAGAGCCCAUAUCCAAACUCAAACGCCUAUAUAUAGAAAGGUAAGCAGUCAGGUGAAAGGGUUGGAUUUUUACUCAUUACUACUGUACUAUUGUUG